GAUGAACGCUGGCGGCGUGCCUAAUACAUGCAAGUCGAGCGAACAGACGAGGAGCUUGCUCCUCUGACGUUAGCGGCGGACGGGUGAGUCACACGUGGAUAACCUACCUCUAAGACUGGGAUAAUUUUGGGAAACCGUAGCUAAUACCGGAUAAUAUAUUGAACUGCAUGGUUCAAUAGUGAAAGACGGUUUUGCUGUCACUUAUAGAUGGAUCCGCGCCGCAUUAGCUAGUUGGUACGGUAGCGGCUUACCAAGGCAACGAUGCGUAGCCGACCUGAGAGGGAGAUUGGCCACCCGGGAACUGAGACACGGUCCAGACACCGGCGGGAGGAAGCAGUAGGGAAUCUUACGCAAGGGGCGAGAGCCUGACAGAGCACCGCCGCGUGAGUGAUGAAGGUCUUCGGACCGGAAAGCGAUGUUAUUAUGGAAGAAGAAAUGUGUAAGUAACUAUGAUCGUAUUGACGGUACCUAAUCAGAAAGCCACGGCUAACUCCGUG
rnacentral:rRNA from 1 species